rnacentral:rRNA from 1 species
GACGUAGGGCGCGAGCGUUGUCCGGAUUUAUUGGGCGUAAAGAGCUCGUAGGCGGCUUGUCGCGUCGACUGUGAAAUCCCCGCGGCUCAACCGCGGGUCUGCAGUCGAUACGGGCAGGCUAGAGUUCGGUAGGGGAGGCUGGAAUUCCUGGUGUAGCGGUGAAAUGCGCAGAUAUCAGGAGGAACACCAGUGGCGAAGGCGGCUCUCUGGAACGCAACUGACGCUGAGACGCGAAAGCGUGGGGAGCAAACAGG